rnacentral:rRNA from 1 species
UACAGAGGGUGCGAGCGUUAAUCGGAAUUACUGGGCGUAAAGGGCGCGUAGGCGGCUUGGCAAGUCAGGGGUCGAAAGCUUUCGGCUCAACCGGAAAGUAGCCCUGAUACUGCCGAGCUCGAGGGAGGUAGGGGCGGACGGAACUUCCGGAUGGAGCGGUGAAAUGCGUUGAUAUCGGAAGGAACGCCGGUGGCGAAAGGCGGUCCGACUGGGCCUCCUCGUG